ACCCGCGCACCGGGUACCUGGCGCGUAGGUGGGGCGCACCGCCUUUCCACCGCCGCGUCAGGCAUACCAGUGAUAUUUUUAUCAUUCCUGGAUGGAGCAGGAAGUUGGAGAUGAUAACAUAAAUGACCCCUUCCAAUUCUGGGUAAUUAAGAUAAAGGUCUCAUUGACUUUACUUAUGUUUAAAGUUGGCUGAAAAGUACACUGCAGAAAGAGGAAGGGGACUUGCAAAAAUCUCUUCCCCUGUUCAUAUUAUAUCCCUCCAAGACAAAGUAGCUGAGACAUUUACUGACUUCCAUGGCAACACUGGAUCUAUCAGCAUGGCAAAGUGGGCAUUUGAGAGUAUUUGUCUGUAAAAGGGGGAGGGAGCCUCCGCCAGUCAUACCAGAUGGCUGUGGUGCCAUCAUUGUUCACUGUGAGGAGAGAUUCAGCUUUAUCACCUACAAGAAUUUCAAAGAAAAGAGUUAUCUAUCUGAGACAGCUCUGAGUCGCAUGAGACCUGGAAACUUCAGUCUUGCAGCUUCAAAAAAGCAAGUAAGCAUGAGCUGAUCUCGCUCCUUUCUUGGAAGUUCCAAAGAUCACGUUAGAACAGGGCCGUCUUAAGCGACUUCCAGAAUGUCUGGAAGUCGCACAAAAGUACAACACAUUCUCCUGUGACCUCUGCAAUUUCCAACAAGGUGCAAGAAGUUCUCACAAGAUUUUCAAAGGUUCCAGAACCUGUGCAACAUCUGCAGUUUUAGAGUUCUGCUCAAAUCACAGCUGGCAUCUUUGAAAGGACAAUUCACUGCUUCUAUAGAUAAUGUUUAAAAGACAUUAUGGAAUAGGAACAAGUUUUACCUGAGAAGAUUGAGACUGAUUUGGAGUGGAUUUAAAAUGAUAGGAUACAAAAAUGACAUGGAGGUAGGGGAGUUAAACUGGACAUACAAAAGAAACUGUCUGAAGUCUUAAUAAUUAACAGGGAUAUGCAAAUAAUAAACCAAGGGAAUGACUCAGAUGAUUUUUCUAUAUUGGAUUUACAAAAGGGACUUGUUAAAGCUUUGAAAAAUGUAUGUGAAAAGGGUCAAAGAAAAAAUGAGAAGAAAUCAAUUUCUAGAACAUUAUUGUAAAGAACUAAAACAUUUUAGAAGUAAAAGGCACAAAUAUAAAAUUGGUUUAUUUAAGGGUCAAUUAUAUAUGCUGUUAUUUCUUAUAACACUUAAUGGACUUUUACUUAUAUCAGGACUAAAUUUGUUGUAUUUUAAGAAGUGAUAACUUACUAAAAUUGCCCAUACUUGUUCUGACAAAG